rnacentral:rRNA from 1 species
UACGUAGGGUGCAAGCGUUGUUCGGAGUUACUGGGCGUAAAGGGUGUGUAGGCGGUUCUUUUAGUUUGGUGUGAAAUCUCCCGGCUCAACCGGGAGGGUGCGCCGAAUACUGAGGGACUAGAGUGCGGGAGAGGAAAGUGGAAUUCCUGGUGUAGCGGUGAAAUGCGUAGAUAUCAGGAGGAACACCGGUGGUGUAGACGGCUUUCUGGACCGUAACUGACGCUGAAACACGAAAGCGUGGGUAGCAAACAGG